UGGGGAAUAUUGCACAAUGGGCGAAAGCCUGAUGCAGCAACGCCGCGUGAGUGAUGAAGGUCUUCGGAUUGUAAAGCUCUGUCUUUUGGGACGAUAAUGACGGUACCAAAGGAGGAAGCCACGGCUAACUACGUGCCAGCAGCCGCGGUAAUACGUAGGUGGCGAGCGUUGUCUGGAUUUACUGGGCGUAAAGGGUGCGUAGGCGGAUGUUUAAGUGAGAUGUGAAAUACCCGGGCUUAACUUGGGUGCUGCAUUUCAAACUGGAUAUCUAGAGUGCAGGAGAGGAGAAUGGAAUUCCUAGUGUAGCGGUGAAAUGCGUAGAGAUUAGGAAGAACACCAGUGGCGAAGGCGAUUCUCUGGACUGUAACUGACGCUGAGGCACGAAAGCGUGGGUAGCAAACAGGAUUAGAUACCCUGGUAGUCCACGCCGUAAACGAUGAGUACUAGGUGUAGGAGGUAUCGACCCCUUCUGUGCCGCAGUAAACACAUUAAGUACUCCGCCUGGG
rnacentral:rRNA from 1 species